ACGCUUCUUCCGGUUGCUGCGAUGGAACAAUCGCGUUCCUGGAGCCCUACUUAGGGGAGCAACCUUCCCCUUCGGCGCGCUCCAGGGACUGGGCCACAGGAUGUGGAGGGCAGCCCCGCUCCCCAGCGGCCGGGGCGGGUAGCCGCGCACGUAGCGCACGUGUGGGGCGGUGCCCCGCUCUGGCCCCGCCCCGCCCCGGCUCCGCCCCCGAGUCUCAAGGCUUAGGGUUCUCCGGUGCGCCUCCCUCCCUCCCUGCCGCGCGGCUGCCUCCCCAGAUGGGAAGCCGCCGGAGGAGAGGGUCUCCACACUAUCAUCCGGCGCGUGGUGGACCCUCCGCGAAAUUCUGUUAAAAGGGAGCGGAAAUGGCCUUGAGUUGCUGUGGCUCCAAUUGGCGAGAAUGGAGUUUGGUGAACACGGAGAAGAAUCGCCCACGGGAGGCCGGAAAGACUUCACAACAGAUCAAAGGGAGAGCUGGGGAAACCCACACGGACUCCAGCGCUCCCUGCUCUACUCCAUCCCACCCGGCAUCACCGCGAGCCCCGUCUCCUCUGGGCUUCGGACCUUGGGAAGCUGAGUCUGUGUCUUGGGGAGGCGCCUGGUAAUAAAUACCUCUUCCUCUUC